rnacentral:rRNA from 1 species
GAUGAACGCUAGCUACAGGCUUAACACAUGCAAGUCGAGGGGCAGCAUGGUCUUAGCUUGCUAAGGCCGAUGGCGACCGGCGCACGGGUGAGUAACACGUAUCCAACCUGCCGUCUACUCUUGGACAGCCUUCUGAAAGGAAGAUUAAUACAAGAUGGCAUCAUGAGUCCGCAUGUUCACAUGAUUAAAGGUAUUCCGGUAGACGAUGGGGAUGCGUUCCAUUAGAUAGUAGGCGGGGUAACGGCCCACCUAGUCUUCGAUGGAUAGGGGUUCUGAGAGGAAGGUCCCCCACAUUGGAACUGAGACACGGUCCAAACUCCUACGGGAGGCAGCAGUGAGGAAUAUUGGUCAAUGGGCGAGAGCCUGAACCAGCCAAGUAGCGUGAAGGAUGACUGCCCUAUGGGUUGUAAACUUCUUUUAUAAAGGAAUAAAGUCGGGUAUGGAUACCCGUUUGCAUGUACUUUAUGAAUAAGGAUCGACUAACUCCGUG